AGAGAGCAGGAAAUGAGAUGUCAACAUAAUGACUAGGUGUGUGGUUGAAAAUGACUAGGUGUGUGGUUGAAGAUGAAUUUACUCUUCCUGAAACGCUAGCUUGAAAUGUUAAAGCUGAUGCCUCUUAUGGGUUUGAAUACAGGCAGGAGAAAGAGUCCAGCUUUCUCUCUCUCGUGUUGAAAGAUGGGACACCAUGGCAUGGAGACAGCAGAGGCUACAGUGAGCAAAAGAAGAUGACAUGCAGGAAGAAUGAGAGGCACAGAUGGAGGUCUCAGGACUGCUGAAGAUCCUGGCUCAGAGCCUCCCUGAGGCCAACCUCACCCCAAAUUCCAUGUGCUUUGGAUAUAUGAGCCACUUCCCUUUUUGGCCAGCGUACUUCAGAUAGAUCUCGGUACUAUUUCAAAUACUGGGAAUAUGAAGAUAACUAAAGCACAGUUCCUGCCCUUCAGAAUAUCCUGAUCUGGUGAGGGUGAAAAUAAAUUCAGAGGAGAUGGUGACAUGCAGUGAUAAGCGCAGGGAUGCAGGCAUGCAUUUAGAGCUAUGGCAGGGACGCAGGCAUGCAUUCAGAGCUAUGGCAGGGACGCAGGCAUGCAUUCAGAGCUAUGGCAGGGACGCAGGCAUGCAUUCAGAGCUAUGGCAG
rnacentral:lncRNA from 1 species